GGGGUGCACGUGCAACGGAGACACCGCCCCUAAACCUGGGGCCCUGAGGCUAACAGCUAACAGUGGCCCUGCCGUUACGGCCAGUGUCAGGUGCCAGCUGGGCUGGACCAGGAAUUCCCAGAAACCUGGCAAGGCAUGAUUUGGGGUGGGUCGUGCUGAGGGCCACACCAUCCGCUUCCCCGCUUCUGAGGCCUUCCGACCUGGGCUGAGCCCGGCUACCCGAGUCCCGGGGUCUCCGGCUCACAGACUUCUCGGCCUCCGUAAUUGCAAACGCCAGCUCCCCCAGUCCAUCUCCUGUCCUGGAUCUACGUCUAUAUCCUACUGGAUCCGUCUCUCUGGAGAACCCUAAUACAGCUGUCAACACAAGGAUGAACUAACUACAAGAAGGCCUGAAUAGGAACUCUCCCAGGGGACGAAGAGGUUUCAGCCUUCAGCAAAGGAUGGUUCAUAGAAACCGUUCGCAUAGUCGGCCCUCCACGGACUGCAACCCUAGUUAAUAUUACCUACAGUAAACAAAAAAUUCAAGUAUAGAUUUUAGUCUAAAGCAAAUAGGAAAUGUCGCUUCCCUGGACGUUGGGAGAAGCAAACACGAAUCCUCUCCUGAGGCCGGAAGCGGUGGCUCACGCCUGUAAUCCCAGCACUUUGGGAGGCUGAGGCGGGCGGAUCAUUUUAUAACUAUCUAUUAAAUGUUUAAGUUUUCAGUCCAUUUUUCCUGUCUACAUGGAAUUGCCGACUGCACAAAGAACACAUGAGGGCUCUCUCAAGGCCAUCAUUUCCGCGGAGUCCCAUUUCCUGACUCAAAUGACAAGCUCUCAACUUUCUACUCAAGAUCAUUGAAACAUCUGUGUUGAUUAUUUGUAACCGGGAUAUGCUUUAUUUAUUAGAUAAGAGACUAACCGUUG
rnacentral:lncRNA from 1 species